CCUAGCUAUAUGAGUUUUCAUAUCCAACUUUAAUCUUCUGUACGUCUUAUUUGAAUUCUUUAAUUUAUGAUUAGUAUUUUUAUCGUUAUUAGAUGAUAAAAUAUGAAUAGUAUUUUAUGCGUGACUUAUGUUUUUAAAUAAGAUGAACAAUCAAAGUUGAACAUGAAAAAAAUUAUGGCUACACUUACA
rfam:Oryza meridionalis cultivar OR44 (W2112) chromosome 9, whole genome shotgun sequence.